CACUGGUACUUAGCUGAAUCCAGUUAGACUGGAAGCCGACCCAACAUAGUUGGGAAAAAGGCUAGGCUGAUGAUUCAAAGUGACGUGAUGCCGCGAGUAAACGUUAUGGCCUAUUGCCUGCUAUUCCUAGAUAAAUGGGGGGAACGGAGCUUUGGACGCGAGCGCCUGACACGAAUGCCUGAGCAAAACUGAAUGAACGCCGGACUGCGGGAUCCACACAGGCGCUGUCCUGGGCUACAUUAUGAUCGUUAUCCACUAAGACGUAACGGUAAAGUAGUAAAACAAGUCGGAUUACUUCUGAGAUGGUGUUUUUAAUAAAAGUUUUUGAUUUCAUAA